AGUGAACGCUGGCGGUAGGCCUAACACAUGCAAGUCGAACGGCAGCACAGUAAGAGCUUGCUCUUACGGGUGGCGAGUGGCGGACGGGUGAGGAAUACAUCGGAAUCUACUUUUUCGUGGGGGAUAACGUAGGGAAACUUACGCUAAUACCGCAUACGACCUACGGGUGAAAGCAGGGGAUCUUCGGACCUUGCGCGAUUGAAUGAGCCGAUGUCGGAUUAGCUAGUUGGCGGGGUAAAGGCCCACCAAGGCGACGAUCCGUAGCUGGUCUGAGAGAAUGAUCAGCCACACUGGAACUUAGACACGGUCCAGACUCCUACGGGAGGCAGCAGUGGGGAAUAUUGGACAAUGGGCGCAAGCCUGAUCCAGCCAUACCGCGUGGGUGAAGAAGGCCUUCGGGUUGUAAAGCCCUUUUGUUGGGAAAGAAAAGCAGCAGGUUAAUACCCCGCUGUUCUGACGGUACCCAAAGAAUAAGCACCGGCUAACUUCGUG
rnacentral:rRNA from 1 species